CCGCUCCGUCUCUCGUUUGGAUGGCCGCCCCCACCCCCGACGCGGCCUGCGGUCUGUGAAAAGUCUUUGUUCUCUACUAAGAGGGCGUUGCCUAAAGUGGGCAGACGUUAGAAAAACCCCACAGUGGUCAGUCUGUGUGGAUGACUUCUUGCCCAACGGAGAGCUCCCUGUAGAGUGGAAGGGGCUGAGAUUUGAAGCCGCAGGACAUUGGUUAUAGAAUGCGUGUUGCUGUUGGGCAGCAGAAUUUCAAAAACCUUUGAGACUCCCGGCUUGAAAAGUUGUUAAGCCUAUCUCAAGUCUCUUGUAGUUUUAGAUAUUACUUCCUUCUGCAGGCUUCCGUAGUAUCCUUGACGUAUCCUUGACGCUCCUAGAGUGCUAAGCACCUGUUUUGUGCCUGAAAUGCUCUGAAACUGCCCUGGAAGACAGCAGUCUCAUUCACAGAGUAUGGGCUAUGGCUAGCACAAGGCUUAAUUCAGGUUUAUUGUAGGACCUAGAAAGCCAACUGGAUUCUGAAAGUGAUAGUGGCCUUGCUAUUAUCCAAAGGCUCCGACCAAUGAACAGUGAAAGCAAAUUUGAAUUCGAAAAAGGGUGCCGUUUACUUGGUACCUGAGGUGUCAUUUUAGUUUGAUCAUAAUCCUUGGCUGUAGACACAAAAGCUUAUGAUCAUCUAGGUCUAAAUAGCACAGAUACCCAGACCUGUGAUCUUUAGCCAAUAACAGCUACCUCUUAAUGAGCAUCUGUGAGUUAUUCUUUAUGCUCUGUAAGUAAUAUCACAUUUAACCUUAUGGUAAUCUUAUAAAUUUUUUGGAGUUGUCAGAUGGGGAAACUGAAUCAUCCAGUUGCUUUAUAAGUAAUAUCACAUUUAACCUUACGAUAAUCUUAUAAAUUUUUUAAUAUUGUUAGAUGGGGAAACUGAACCAUCCAGUUGAGUAAGUUGUCUAGUAAACAAGGCCCAGGUGGACAGAGGAGCCUGGCAGGCUACUGUCCAUGGGGUCGGAAAGAGUGGGACACUACUGAAGCGAUUUAACGUGCAGCACGGCAAGUUUCACUUCAAGUCUUUUACUUAAGAUACUUAACUAUCCUGUGAUUAAGUCUGCAUUUAACCUCUAAGAACAGUUUGCUUCUUUUCUGCUUUUGGGGAAAAUUCUCACUAGAGUGGACUAAUGAGAACGGUUGACAUGUUAUACAACCCUCUGAAAUGUAAUUUUUCACUAAAUACACUGCCCCCCCCCCCCCAUAACUAUGCUCCUUGCUGCUGCAGAACCAGGUUUUUUACAUUUAUGCAUUCUGCUAUAAUACUGUCUUCUUUAUGCUCACUAUAAUAGUGCAGCAGCUCAAAUUUUGCUGCUUGUAUUCAAUCUUUUUUAUUUUUAAAACACAAUCUCUGAAAUUGUUAAGUCACUAUAGGAAUAAAUUGGAGCUUCCUGGGUAGCUCAAAUGGUAAAGAAUCUGCCUGCAGUGCAGGAGACCUGGGUUCGAUCCAUGGGUUGGGAAGAAGGGCAUGGCAACCCACUCCAGUAUUCUUGCCUGGAGAAUCCCAUGGACAGAGGGGCCUGGUGGGGUGCAGUUCAUAGGAUCACCAAGUCGAUUCAGAUGACUGAAUUUACUAAGCAUGCAUAGGAAUAAAUUAGAAUUGCAUUAAAGCAUGUGUGUGAAUAAGAAGUUAAAUGAAAAACAGCUUUGAAAAAAAAAGAUUCAAGAGCAGUGGAUUGAAGAGAGAGAGAGAGAGAUUCCAAUUAUGGAUCAGGUGGCAAUUAGGCCUCUCUAGGUAGGGAUAUUGCCUUCCCUCCUCCAAUUUGGGUAAUAGGCAGCAGCACUCGUCAGAAUCUGAAAUAAAUGGAGAAGCUCUGGAAGAAUGUGAACCAACGUGACCUGGAGAAAAAGGGGGUGGAUGAAGGUGGAAGACAAAACAAGGACUGAAACUGCCUCGGGAUAUUGUGCUGAGCCUGGGCGCCAGGUGGUCGGAUGGAGCGCAUCUUCUGUGUUCCCUACAGCUUGUACCCGGGCUAUGGGAACAUGCUGCGUUUGGGCCAGUCUGGACCCUCUGAGCACAGACAACCUCACUGGAGUCAAACCAACGUUCCCCCCACUUUCUUGGCCAGGCCCAGGCUGCUGAUGCCCUCCAAUGCCUCCGACUACUGCGUGGACCCUUACAAGAGAGCCCAGCUCAUGGCCGUUUUCUCCCAUAUGAACCCCGGCCUGAGCCUGCGGCUGCGCAAGGCCAACACCAAGGAUGUGGGCGUGCAGGUGAGCCCCCGGGUGGGCAAGUCCGUCCAGUGCUCUCUGGGGCCUCGCACCCUGGACAGCCUCUCCUCCUGGGCCAGCGCAGGCCACAGGGCACCCGCGUCCGCCUGGGGCGUCUCUUCACCAGUGCCCGGCCACUGCGGCCAGGUGCUACUGCGGAAGGCGCCCUCGGGUCCUCCGGUGGCUGGCCAGCCGCCCCCGCCACUACCACCACCAAGGUUAGAAGAGGAUCCCCUCGAGGAACUCCAGCCGCGUGAGGAGCUGGCGGAGGAAGACUCCUCGAGUCCUCGGGAGAGGAAGAGCAAGCCGGCCCCGGUAGACUCCAGCCAGCCGCCUGGGAGGCCUAACUUCCAGUUUUUAGAACCCAAAUAUGGCUAUUUUCACUGUAAAGAUUGUAAGACCAGAUGGGAGAGUGCUUAUGUGUGGUGCAUUUCUGGAACUAAUAAGGUUUAUUUCAAACAACUCUGUUGCAAAUGCCAAAAGAGUUUUAACCCUUAUCGAGUGGAAGCAAUCCAGUGCCAGGAUCUUAGUUCCCCAACCAGGGAUCAAACCUGCCCCUCCCUGCAUUGGAAGUGUGGAGUCUUAACCACUGAACCACAAGGAACGUCCCCCUUAGAAACUUUGGACAUGUCAGAAGAGUCGAGUGUUCAAGUAGAGCUCAGAAAUGGCUGUGAAAUUCCAUGUCCAUCAGCUAAAAUCACUUACAGCAGAUGAAGUGAUGACCUCUGCAGCUUUCCUAGGGCCAGCUCCGCAGAACCAGGAGUUGACCUGUGCUAAUUCACUGAAGGCUUGAGGCUGUGGCCUGGAGAGCCCAGAGCUGCAACGCUUUACCCUGACCUAUGUUUCUAUGAACUUCAACUCCCCAGAAGCCACUCCACAAUGAAUUCCACGGGCAACGGAAAGAGCUCACCUUGAAGGUGAUUUCUCAUCCUUUGAAGGCUCCACACUCUGACAUGCUUUUCUCGAUGUGAUAGUGUAAUUAGAAGUUGACAUCUCUGCCUUGGCCAUGCCUGGUCUACGAUGGGAAAUGCUCCCUGGAAAUUACACACAAGUAUUUGUUGGAAAUCAGGAGGUCUGCAUGGAUGGUUUCUGAAUCACUUCUGUCUGUGACAUUAUACAGUUUACAUCUUUGAAGGAAGGAGGAAGAAAAGAGCAGGAGCUGAGGCCAAGAGAAACCACGGUGAUGGGGAGAAACAGAUACUGAGAGUGGUGGAGAAGAGAGGUAUCCAAAUAUUCUUGCAGUUCUAAAACACUGAACUUGAGCUUGUCCAGAAGUCCACAAGAAAGGAGCUAAUAAAGACAGGAAAAUAAUUUGUAUUAAAACAACUUCCAGAGAGACACCUAGACAAAGGCAUGGCUACACAGAAAGAAAAGAGAAGUAUACUUAGAUGUAAUACAGAGUGUGUCGGGGGUGGCAUCUGUUUUAAUAACCUGUACAGUUUGUAAUUUUGCUCCACUCUCAAAAGCAAUUGCACUUGAAUAUGACUUGCUAAUUUAAAUUUCCUGUGAAGAUACCCAUUUCCCCCAUAUCAGUUUAGACAGACAAAUCUUAACAAGCAUUCUACAGAAGCCUGCAUUAAGAAUCGGCAUCCAUUUUAUGCAUGGACUCCAGUGUCUUCAUCCAGUAAUACUCCAGGAAGUGUGAAGAUAGACCUCCAACUAGGUCUUUUUAUUUAAUUUGCAUUUUAAAUCAUUUAAGAUAGAAAGAUUUCUCAUAUCGUAUUCUUUGCUACAAGACAGCCAACCACUAAUCAAGUUCCUGGAAAGACUGACUCUUCAGAGACUUUCAGAAGUGAAGCACAUCUUCAUUGUCUCUAAACCCCAGUAAGUACUGAGCAGAUGAGACGGUUCUGUGAUAUGCAUAGGGGAUGGAAAGAGGUGCCCCUCUCCCCUACAGAAAGCUUGCUGGUCUUGGAAGGUUAGCAUUGUGUUUAUAUAGUCACGAUUCAGCAGUCAGCCAGCAACUAUUUUAAUCAUCCUUCAAAUUCAUCUGCAGUGGGGCUGGAUGAAUCCAGCAAGAGGGCAGGUGGUCUCUCGGAAGAAGAGAAAGUGAUGACAUGGUGCCUCUGGGGACCCAUCCGGCUGGCUGACCUGGCAUCAUGGGGACUGGCUAGGGCUGCUCUGAGAGGUUAGCACACCAUGUUCACAGCCUUUAGGGUCAUCAGAGAGAAGCACCAUGGACACAGAGGGGGCACAGGGCUGGGGGGUUGGCGGGGGUCUCUUCCUGAUCUCCUGUAGUGACGGCCUUGGCUGGCCACGCACAGCCAUUCCUGUGCAGACCCAGGCCUUUGGGGCUCCCAUCACCACACAGCGCUGCUCACAAACACCGAAGUGUCUUUCCAACAAACUGCAAUUGCACACGUGCUUCCCUGAGGUUCCACACUGUCAGCUGGGCAGGCCAUUGACCACGGGAGUAGGCCUGGGAUACUCACGGUCUCGGCGUCCACGAAGAGCGUGGGGCACUCAGAGCAGGAGAUCACAGCUCCUAGAGACAGGAGGACUAAAACAGAGCCACAAAGUCUCUGAAGAAAGAAAGAGUAAAUUCUGUGUGGGACCUGUCUCCCUGAGAGCUUUGCACAUGUCACCUCAUCAGUGCUCACAACCAGGUAAAGAACCGGAGGUUAAGAGAGGUCAGAGGACUCGAGAUCAUGCAAACAAUAAAUGUCUUAGGAAUUGAUCCAGUCAACUGAUAAAAAAAAAAAUCCAAACUCCAGUGUUCCUGCCAGUACCCAGCCCCAUGUCCCAGCUCACAUGACAACCUGUUGCUGUACUGGCAUUAGGUGGAAACUGUGCAUUUGAGAUUUACAUUGAAAGAGUCUUUUUCCUACUGCAUUUACUGAGUACCUAUUGCGUGUGAGCCAUGGUGCCAGCCACUGCGAUCAAAGCAAGACACCAUUGCCUGCCCUCGCCCGCAGGAGACAGACACCUGAACAGGUGGUCAGAGGGCCCAUUCCUCCAUCCAGCACAAGUUAGCAUGCCUUUUCUCAUGAUGUACUCAAGAGAAUCAACCUCUCAAAAAGUGUCACAGGCCGGCAGGUUGAAGGAAUUCAUGGUGAGUGGGAAUAAAAGAUAAGGGAAAAGCAACGAAGAAGGAAGAGGUACAGCAGAGGUCGGAGUGGAAAGAAGAGAUGGAGAAUGGGCUUGGUUGAAGAUACCCUCUGUGGUCCUGAAGGCCUGGCUGCCUGCCUGGGCCUAAUGACGCCAAUGAAAGCCGGAGGGACCAGUGAGAAUCACGUCCCAGCGGCCUGAACCACUGAGCACAAUGUCUCCGUGAUGAAUGGAAGAAAGGAUGAAGUCAGAGGAAACUGAGGAAAAAGUGUAGUGUAAACCCAGUGCUUCCCCGCUCAGGUCGAGGCCAGCUGGCUCCCUGAAGAGCUGGUGGCUGCGGAGCCUUUGCAGGCAGCAUACCUUAAAC